rnacentral:rRNA from 1 species
AGAGUUUGAUUCUGGCUCAGGACGAACGCUGGCGGCGUGCCUAAUACAUGCAAGUCGAGCGGACAGAAGGGAGCUUGCUCCCGGAUGUUAGCGGCGGACGGGUGAGUAACACGUGGGUAACCUGCCUGUAAGACUGGGAUAACUCCGGGAAACCGGAGCUAAUACCGGAUAGUUCCUUGAACCGCAUGGUUCAAGGAUGAAAGACGGUUUCGGCUGUCACUUACAGAUGGACCCGCGGCGCAUUAGCUAGUUGGUGAGGUAACGGCUCACCAAGGCGACGAUGCGUAGCCGACCUGAGAGGGUGAUCGGCCACACUGGGACUGAGACACGGCCCAGACUCCUACGGGAGGCAGCAGUAGGGAAUCUUCCGCAAUGGACGAAAGUCUGACGGAGCAACGCCGCGUGAGUGAUGAAGGUUUUCGGAUCGUAAAGCUCUGUUGUUAGGGAAGAACAAGUGCAAGAGUAACUGCUUGCACCUUGACGGUACCUAACCAGAAAGCCACGGCUAACUACGUGCCAGCAGCCGCGGUAAUACGUAGGUGGCAAGCGUUGUCCGGAAUUAUUGGGCGUAAAGGGCUCGCAGGCGGUUUCUUAAGUCUGAUGUGAAAGCCCCCGGCUCAACCGGGGAGGGUCAUUGGAAACUGGGAAACUUGAGUGCAGAAGAGGAGAGUGGAAUUCCACGUGUAGCGGUGAAAUGCGUAGAGAUGUGGAGGAACACCAGUGGCGAAGGCGACUCUCUGGUCUGUAACUGACGCUGAGGAGCGAAAGCGUGGGGAGCGAACAGGAUUAGAUACCCUGGUAGUCCACGCCGUAAACGAUGAGUGCUAAGUGUUAGGGGGUUUCCGCCCCUUAGUGCUGCAGCUAACGCAUAAGCACUCCGCCUGCGAGUACUCG